AAUGGUGUGAGAGAGCUUCCUUCAGCCCACUCAUGGAUAAGGGUAAAGGGGCUGAAGUAUCUGCCGACUCAUUCAUUCAAGCACAAGUAGACGACAAAGGUAUAAUCGCUACUGUGAUUGUGUGAAUGAUGCGGGAGAUAAUUUUGCAUCCCUCCUUUUCUGUGCUUGGACUGAAGGGAGCUCCGUCUGUCCAUUAC
rfam:Jatropha curcas cultivar GZQX0401 scaffold1365_6, whole genome shotgun sequence.